rnacentral:rRNA from 1 species
GUGCCAGCCGCCGCGGUAAUACAUAGGGGGCAAGCGUUAUCCGGAAUUAUUGGGCGUAAAGGGUGCGUAGGUGGUUAGAUAAGUCUUAGGUGUAAGUGCAGAGCUUAACUCUGUGAUGCUAGAGAAACUGUCUGACUUGAGUGUGGUAGAGGCAAGUGGAAUUCCAUGUGUAGCGGUAAAAUGCGUAAAUAUAUGGAGGAACACCAGUGGCGAAGGCGGCUUGCUGGGCCAUAACUGACACUGAGGCACGAAAGCGUGGGGAGCAAACAGGAUUAGAUACCCUGGUAGUCCACGCCGUAAACGAUGAGUACUAAGUGUUGGAGAAAUUCAGUGCUGUAGUUAACGCAAUAAGUACUCCGCCUGAGUAGUACGUGCGCAAGCAUGAAACUCAAAGGAAUUGACGGGACCCCGCACAAGCGGUGGAUCAUGUUGUUUAAUUCGAUGAUACGCGAAGAACCUUACCAGGUCUUGACAUCCCAUGCAAAGCUAUAGAGAUAUAGUGGAGGUUAUCAUGGAGACAGGUGGUGCAUGGUUGUCGUCAGCUCGUGUCGUGAGAUGUUGGGUUAAGUCCCGCAACGAGCGCAACCCUCGUCACUAGUUACUAACGGUUCGGCCGAGGACUCUAGUGAGACUGCCUUCGUAAGGAGGAGGAAGGUGAGGACGACGUCAAGUCAUCAUGGCCCUUACGGCUAGGGCAACACNCGUGCUACAAUGGNCAGGACAGUGAG